GGGGAAUAUUGCACAAUGGGCGAAAGCCUGAUGCAGCAACGCCGCGUGAGUGAAGAAGGUUUUCGGAUUGUAAAGCUCUGUCAUCUGGGACGAUAAUGACGGUACCAGAUGAGGAAGCCACGGCUAACUACGUGCCAGCAGCCGCGGUAAUACGUAGGUGGCAAGCGUUGUCCGGAAUUACUGGGCGUAAAGGGUGCGCAGGCGGACAUUUAAGUGAGAUGUGAAAGACCCGGGCUUAACUUGGGCAGUGCAUUUCAAACUGGAUGUCUGGAGUGCAGGAGAGGAGAACGGAAUUCCUAGUGUAGCGGUGAAAUGCGUAGAGAUUAGGAAGAACACCAGUGGCGAAGGCGGUUCUCUGGACUGUAACUGACGCUGAGGCACGAAAGCGUGGGUAGCAAAC
rnacentral:rRNA from 1 species